rnacentral:rRNA from 1 species
AUGGCCGCAUCGUCCCCGGCCUCCAGCGGCAAGGCUGCGAGCGAUUCCUCCGCUCCUCCGGCCCCUUCCCCCGUGGUAUCCAAUGGCAAUGGAACGCCGCAGAAGCCGCCCCCCGUCGCCGGAUUCGACAUGCCCAAGCCCAACCUCCGCGGCCUCAACAAGCCCAAGUGCAUCCAGUGCGGCAACGUCGCCCGCUCCCGGUGCCCGUUCCAGUGUUGCAAGAGCUGCUGCUACAAAGCUCAGAACCCUUGCCACAUUCAUGUUCUCAAACAGAACAACACAUUGCCAGAGAAGACACCACCAGCUCCUAUCCCUUUGUCAGACCAACCAUCUACCAAUUCACCUUUAACAGGUUCUUCGUCGAGGCUGUCUUCCCUACAAAAGCUUCCCCUUCAUUUUCUGAAUUCAAUCCGAACAAGAAAGUCCCUUGCCAAGAAGGACAUUGCAAGCAUAAACAAGUGGAGGUUUAUGAAGCUAAAGGAACAUAUGCAAGGAGAUAUUGAUGUUGAAAAUGAAGCAUAUGAUAGGUACACACAGAAUAUAGGAUUGCUGGAGGAAACGUUCUAUCUCAAAGAAGAUUCUGCUGGUGAACAUGAAACUGAAGCAACUUCCUCGGAAGAAAUGAUGGAAAUAAUGGUCUCUGAGGCAAAGGUGAGGUUAAAAUCUGAUUGCGCAAAUGCAGCUGGCUUUAAAGAGAGGAUUGCCACUGUCUUGGACCAGAAGCUGAAGAAAUUGCAAGAGAGGAACAGUGCCUACGAGGAUGACAACUCCUCUGACCAAAAUCUAGAUGACCAUACGAAGCCUGUGAAGUUGAACAUAAAACAGCAAACAGUGAGAAACGCGAAAACAAACGAGCUGCUUGGUAAGUUAACAAAAGCACAGAGUGAGGAUGAUUUGAAGCCUUGCCUCAGUAUCAUGGCGCAGCUGUUUGGGAAGGAGAUUGCUUCCUCCUCCAUGGGCACAUCAAACAAGUCAAGCGACCAAGAAUCAACCCCUGCAGUUGCGCCCUCUUAUUCAUUUCCGAAGCUCACAACUAGGCUGGAGGUAGACGAGAACAUGAUGUCUAAGAUCAACGAGUUAUAUUCUUUGAGUCAGGUUGUUCAGCUGUAA